AGCGGCGGACGGGUGAGUAACACGUGGGUAACCUGCCUGUAAGACUGGGAUAACUCCGGGAAACCGGGGCUAAUACCGGAUGCUUGAUUGAACCGCAUGGUUCAAUUAUAAAAGGUGGCUUCAGCUACCACUUACAGAUGGACCCGCGGCGCAUUAGCUAGUUGGUGAGGUAACGGCUCACCAAGGCAACGAUGCGUAGCCGACCUGAGAGGGUGAUCGGCCACACUGGGACUGAGACACGGCCCAGACUCCUACGGGAGGCAGCAGUAGGGAAUCUUCCGCAAUGGACGAAAGUCUGACGGAGCAACGCCGCGUGAGUGAUGAAGGUUUUCGGAUCGUAAAACUCUGUUGUUAGGGAAGAACAAGUACCGUUCGAAUAGGGCGGUACCUUGACGGUACCUAACCAGAAAGCCACGGCUAACUACGUGCCAGCAGCCGCGGUAAUACGUAGGUGGCAAGCGUUGUCCGGAAUUAUUGGGCGUAAAGCGCGCGCAGGCGGUUUCUUAAGUCUGAUGUGAAAGCCCCCGGCUCAACCGGGGAGGGUCAUUGGAAACUGGGGAACUUGAGUGCAGAAGAGGAGAGUGGAAUUCCACGUGUAGCGGUGAAAUGCGUAGAGAUGUGGAGGAACACCAGUGGCGAAGGCGACUCUCUGGUCUGUAACUGACGCUGAGGCGCGAAAGCGUGGGGAGCGAACAGGAUUAGAUACCCUGGUAGUCCACGCCGUAAACGAUGAGUGCUAAGUGUUAGAGGGUUUCCGCCCUUUAGUGCUGCAGCAAACGCAUUAAGCACUCCGCC
rnacentral:rRNA from 2 species